UACAUUUGUGUUAUCAAACUUCUCUUUUAAUGCAGGAGUUGUCCCUUCAACACAGAGUAAUUCUACCUGCAGGCUAUUUAGUGAAGAGCCUUGCUGUUUUUGGGCCCGCUGGAAACUAUUUAGCACUGUUUACAGAAGAGAAAAGCAGGGCCACCAGAUCAGCAACCAAAUCUAAAACUGAUUUCAAAGUACAUUCUCCGAUAGAACAACACACAUCUUUCUAAUUUAGGGACAUGAGUGGAUAUCUGAGUAAAACAUCACUGUUGAAAGACAGCCUGACUUUCACGAACCAUGGGGGCAAAAAAAUGUGCAUACCUUCCAGAAGAAAACACUGUAGCUAGGUCUCAAAGGUUCAGUAUCAAGUGAUUUCCAUGAGGUCAUGAGGUUUCCAGAAGUGAAUAGAGUAUCUCAGCCUUGGUUUCACUAAGGAGAGAUGGGCCUAGCUGCACAAGGAUCUGUCAUGUGCAAUUUUGUUUACUUGUGCCUGUUUGCUAACCUCCAGCUUUGUGGAACAGGUCCCCUGAUCUGGUUCACAGCAUGGCCCUGCCAGGAGCUGGAACUGGGAAGAUUGAGGAGUGACGCAAUGUGGCACGAGGACAAAAAAGGUUGAACUGGGUGUUGGGAUGUUUCUGAGGCCACAGGAUCAGAAAACUGUGGCCUUUCUGCUGCCAGCCUGAGGCAAGCCUCAAUUUCUAGCCACUAAUGAUCUUGUUAAUCUGUUUUAUAGCACAGUCAA